rnacentral:rRNA from 1 species
UACGAAGGGGGCUAGCGUUGUUCGGAAUUACUGGGCGUAAAGGGCGCGUAGGCGGGCGGACAAGUCUCUCGUGAAAGCCCACGGCUCAACCGUGGAAUUGCGGGAGAUACUGUCUGUCUUGAGUCCGGGAGAGGAGGGUGGAAUUCCCAGUGUAGCGGUGAAAUGCGUAGAUAUUGGGAGGAACACCGGUGGCGAAGGCGGCUCUCUGGACCGGUACUGACGCUGAGGCGCGAAAGCUAGGGGAGCAAACGGG